CUAAGGUGAUAAAUGGGGUCCAAAAGAAGGUGCAGGCAGAAGCACAAGGAUGAGGAAUUGGAGAGAUAUGGCAAAGGUCAGAAAGGUCGCAUGCUCAGACCAGCAAGCUGAUCAGAUAUAGAACCUGAUGGAAGGAACUGGAGAUGUAUCCAGCCCUCAGAGGGCAGCUUCAGUGGUGUGAAGACUGCAGAGGGGAGUGGAGGAGAGGGUGGGGAGCCAGAAGGACCAAGUAGCCUUCCAAGAAGCUACGAAGUGUGCAGAACAGCCUGUACCUUUUAUGAUACUGCUCGGGAAUAUAAAUGCAUAGCUAGAAUUUUUCUAGAAAAAUAAAUAAGAAACUGGCAUCGAUACGUGGCCAGGAGAAGGGAAGUGAGUGGUUAGCAAACGUGAUCUGCUGCCUGUCCCCUUUCUCAUACACCUUUGGAUUGUGAGCCAUGGGCAUAUAAUAACAAAACAAUCAGAAAAAGCUGCUCAAGUUUUGUAGGAAGUGGAAGGAAAAAAGGACAAUAACACAGAGAAGUAGCAGGUUCUUUUCUUGGAUGGGGAGACAGGGCACCUGGAGAAGACAAAAUUGAAAACUUCUGAGGAUCGAACCCAGGGCUGUGGCUGGAACUCGCCGUCUUUUUACUUCAGCCUCCUAGAGUGCUGGGAUCACAGGUGUGCACCACCAUACCAGGCAGAAACCAGGAUCCUGCAUGUGCUGGGCAAGCACCCUACGCCUAAACUGUACCCUCAGCUCUACCAAGAUAUUAUUGAAAAAGAGAACUACAACAAAGAAGGACUUGCACUGC
rnacentral:lncRNA from 1 species